UACGGAGGGUGCAAGCGUUAUCCGGAUUCACUGGGUUUAAAGGGUGCGUAGGUGGGCAGGUAAGUCAGUGGUGAAAUCUCCGGGCUUAACUCGGAAACCGCCAUUGAUACUAUCUGUCUUGAAUACCGUGGAGGUCAGCGGAAUAUGUCAUGUAGCGGUGAAAUGCUUAGAUAUGACAUAGAACACCAAUUGCGAAGGCAGCUGGCUACACGAAUAUUGACACUGAUGCACGAAAGCGUGGGGAUCAAACAGG
rnacentral:rRNA from 1 species